rnacentral:rRNA from 1 species
GAUGAACGCUGGCGGCGUGCCUAAUACAUGCAAGUCGAGCGAACAGACGAGGAGCUUGCUCCUCUGACGUUAGCGGCGGACGGGUGAGUAACACGUGGAUAACCUACCUAUAAGACUGGGAUAACUUCGGGAAACCGAAGCUAAUACCGGAUAAUAUAUUGAACCGCAUGGUUCAAUAGUGAAAGACGGUUUUGCUGUCACUUAUAGAUGGAUCCGCGCCGCAUUAGCUAGUUGGUAAGGUAACGGCUUACCAAGGCGACGAUGCGUAGCCGACCUGAGAGGGUGAUCGGCCACACUGGAACUGAGACACGGUCCAGACUCCUACGGGAGGCAGCAGUAGGGAAUCUUCCGCAAAGGGCGAAAGCCUGACGGAGCAACGCCGCGUGAGUGAUGAAGGUCUUCGGAUCGUAAAACUCUGUUAUUAGGGAAGAACAAAUGUGUAAGUAACUAUGCACGUCUUGACGGUACCUAAUCAGAAAGCCACGGCUAACUACGUG